UUCUCAGCUUUGAGAACUGAAUUCCAUGGGUUGUAAUUGAAUCUGCUGUCAGACCCAUGGGGCUCAGUUCUU
ensembl:miRNA